AUUGAACGCUGGCGGCGUGCUUAACACAUGCAAGUCGUGCGGUAACAGGCGUAGCAAUACGUGCUGACGAGCGGCGAACGGGUGCGUAAUACAUGGGAAUCUGCCCUUUAGUGGGGAAUAACCCGGCGAAAGCCGGGCUAAUGCCGCAUAAGAUCUUCGGAUGAAAGCGGGGGAUCGUAAGACCUCGCGCUGAGUGGAGUGAGCCCAUGUCGGAUUAGCAGUUGGUGAGGUAACGGCUCACCAAGGCGACGAUCCGUAGCUGGUCUGAGAGGACGGCCAGCCACACUGGGACUGAGACACGGCCCAGACUCCGUACGGGAGGCAGCAGUGGGGAAUAAUUGGACAAUGGGCGAAAGACCUGAUCCAGCGACGCCGCGUGUGUGAAGAAGGCCUGCGGGUUGUAAAGCACUUUCGA
rnacentral:rRNA from 1 species